AUACGUAGGGGGCGAGCGUUGUCCGGAAUGAUUGGGCGUAAAGGGCGCGUAGGCGGCCCGGUAAGUCUGGAGUGAAAGUCCUGUUUUUAAGAUGGGAAUUGCUUUGGAUACUGUCGGGCUUGAGUGCAGGAGAGGUAAGUGGAAUUCCCAGUGUAGCGGUGAAAUGCGUAGAGAUUGGGAGGAACACCAGUGGCGAAGGCGAUUUACUGGACUGUAACUGACGCUGAGGCGCGAAAGUGUGGGGAGCAAACAGGAUUAGAUACCCUGGUAGUCCACACUGUAAACGAUGAAUGCUAGGUGUAGGGGGUAUCGACCCCUUCUGUGCCGCAGUCAACACAAUAAGCAUUCCGCCUGGGGAGUACGGCCGCAAGGUUGAAACUCAAAUGAAUUGACGGGG
rnacentral:rRNA from 1 species